rnacentral:rRNA from 1 species
GACGAACGCUGGCGGCGUGCCUAAUACAUGCAAGUCGAACGCUUCUUUCCUCCCGAGUGCUUGCACUCAAUUGGAAAGAGGAGUGGCGGACGGGUGAGUAACACGUGGGUAACCUACCCAUCAGAGGGGGAUAACACUUGGAAACAGGUGCUAGUACCGCAUAACAGUUUAUGCCGCAUGGCAUAAGAGUGAAAGGCGCUUUCGGGUGUCGCUGAUGGAUGGACCCGCGGUGCAUUAGCUAGUUGGUGAGGUAACGGCUCACCAAGGCCACGAUGCAUAGCCGACCUGAGAGGGUGAUCGGCCACACUGGGACUGAGACACGGCCCAGACUCCUACGGGAGGCAGCAGUAGGGAAUCUUCGGCAAAGGACGAAAGUCUGACCGAGCAACGCCGCGUGAGUGAAGAAGGUUUUCGGAUCGUAAAACUCUGUUGUUAGAGAAGAACAAGGACGUUAGUAACUGAACGUCCCCUGACGGUAUCUAACCAGAAGGCCACGGCUAACUACGUG